GUAGUUUGAUCCUGGCUCAGAGUGAACGCUGGCGGCAGGCCUAAUACAUGCAAGUCGAACGGCAGCACAGCAGAGCUUGCUCUGUGGGUGCGAGUGGCGGACGGGUGAGGAAUACGUGGGAAUCUGCCCAGUCGUGGGGAUAACGUAGGGAAACUUACGCUAAUACCGCAUGCGCCCUUCGGGGGAAAGCCGGGGACCUUCGGGCCUGGCGCGAUUGGAUGAGCCCACGUCGGAUUAGCUAGUUGGCGGGGUAAAGGCCCACCAAGGCGACGAUCCGUAGCUGGUCUGAGAGGAUGAUCAGCCACACUGGAACUGAGACACGGUCCAGACUCCUACGGAAGGCAGCAGUAGGGAAUAUUGGGCAAUGGGCGCAAGCCUGAUCCAGCCAUGCCGCGUGAGUGAAGAAGGCCCUCGGGUUGUAAAGCUCUUUUGUCCGGAAAGAAAAGCGCCGGGUUAAUACCCUGGUGUCCUGACGGUACCGGAAGAAUAAGCACCGGCUAACUUCGUG
rnacentral:rRNA from 1 species